ensembl:lncRNA
GCUCUAAUUCCCUCUACUCUUUCUAUUUCUAAACCUUCUAAAAAUCAUCUUACUUUUAUAUUCCCCACAGAAGGGAUGCUGAACACUGGAGGAAGCUGCUUUCUCCUCUGAUCUCUCUGCUGAUCCCAAGUGGGUUAUUGCUGUGCUCAGAGCUGGAGUGCAGGAAAGAGAAGGAAUAUCUGUGGGGAGGAUGGACAGGCCAACAGGAGGAAAGAGAAAACAGUUGCAAAUGUUUUGAGAAUCCAUCAUCCUCCCAGGUUGAUGGCAAGGCCCUCGUGACCCAGCUGUGAGUCACCAUUCCCAGCUGGGUGGCUCUGAAGAGAGACAAGGAGCUCAGAUGUGUCCCUGAUUCCCCACCAGCACAGGCCAGGAACAUCUGUCUGCUCCUUCCCUUCCUUCAGACGCUCCCAAGGAGGGGGCAGACAGGCAAGUAGGAAUAUGAAAGGGAAAGGAUCAA